AUUGAACGCUGGCGGCAGGCCUAACACAUGCAAGUCGAGCGGAUGAAGGGAGCUUGCUCCUGGAUUCAGCGGCGGACGGGUGAGUAAUGCCUAGGAAUCUGCCUGGUAGUGGGGGAUAACGUCCGGAAACGGGCGCUAAUACCGCAUACGUCCUGAGGGAGAAAGUGGGGGAUCUUCGGACCUCACGCUAUCAUAUGAGCCUAGGUCGGAUUAGCUAGUUGGUGGGGUAAAGGCCUACCAAGGCGACGAUCCGUAACUGGUCUGAGAGGAUGAUCAGUCACACUGGAACUUAGACACGGUCCAGACUCCUACGGGAGGCAGCAGUGGGGAAUAUUGGACAAAGGGCGAAAGCCUGAUCCAGCCAUGCCGCGUGUGUGAAGAAGGUCUUCGGAUUGUAAAGCACUUUAAGUUGGGAGGAAGGGCAGUAAGUUAAUACCUUGCUGUUUUGACGUUACCAACAGAAUAAGCACCGGCUAACUUCGUG
rnacentral:rRNA from 1 species